rnacentral:rRNA from 1 species
GACAGAGGCCUCAAGCGUUAGGCGGAAUCACUGGGCUUAAAGCGUGUGUAGGCGGACUUCUAAGUGCCUUGUGAAAUCCCACGGCUCAACCGUGGAACUGCUGGGCAUACUGGGAGUCUUGGGCCAUUCAGGGGCAACUGGAACAAGCGGUGGAGCGGUGAAAUGCGUAGAUAUCGUAAGGAAGACCAGUGGCGAAGGCGGGUCUCGGGACAGUUCCUGACGCUGAGGCACGAAGGUCAGGGGAGCAAACGGG